rnacentral:misc_RNA from 1 species
AUGACAGCUGCAGCAAGAC